UAUUUUAUGUAAUCCGCACUGCAUGAUUUUUGCAAGUACUCGUCGACUGACUUGAAACCAAAGGAAACUCGGGUCAAUCCUUCAUCAUAAUCCCGGAUGGUUUCAGCGUUAGCCGCUAACUGGAUAUUGUAAUCGCCUCCAAUGUCUUCAAACAACAUAAGAUGCCUACAAAUGAGGGAGAUGAAUAGAUGAUCAAUAGUACUUCUUUAAAAUGCCACUCAACGCCUUGGCGAGAGAUCGGUUAUAAAUUUUGUUAAAUCCCUGGCAUAAAUCCUCAUCUGACAUAACCAAAUUGAAAGGAUUACACAUGGAAACUGCACCCGAAAAAUUGCGUGCACCAG
rnacentral:lncRNA from 1 species